rfam:Hortaea werneckii EXF-2000 unitig_17, whole genome shotgun sequence.
GACCGUUUGGCUCAAUGGUAGAGCGUCCGCCUCCUACGUUAAAAUUACGUCAUUCAGCGGAAGGCUGUGGGUUCGAGUCCCAUGAUGGUCG